AAUAUUGGACAAUGGGGGCAACCAUGAUCCAGCCAUGCCGCGUGUGUGAAGAAGGUCUUGGGUUUGUCAAGCACUCUAAGUUGGGAGGCAGGGCUUUAGGCUAAUACCCUGCAGUUUUGACGUUACCAACAGAAUAAGCCCCGUCUAAUUCUGUGCCAGCAGCCGCUGUAAUACAGAGGGUGAAAGCGUUAAUCGGAAUUACUGGGCGUAAAGCGCGCGUAGGUGGGUCAGUAAGAUGGGUGUGAAAUCCCCGGGCUUAACCUGGGAACUGCUUUCAUAACUGCUGAGCUAGAGUACGGUAGAGGGUAGUGGAAUUUCCUGUGUAGCGGUGAAAUGCGUAGAUAUAGGAAGGAACACCAGUGGCGAAGGCGACUACCUGGACUGAUACUGACACUGAGGUGCGAAAGCGUGGGGAGCAAACA
rnacentral:rRNA from 1 species